rnacentral:rRNA from 1 species
CCUACGGGAGGCAGCAGUGGGGAAUAUUGGGCAAUGGAGGAAACUCUGACCCAGCAACGCCGCGUGAAUGAUGAAGGUCUUCGGAUUGUAAAGUUCUUUUCUAAGGGAAGAAGAAAGUGACGGUACCUUAGGAAUAAGCCUCGGCUAACUACGUGCCAGCAGCCGCGGUAAUACGUAGGAGGCGAGCGUUAUCCGGAAUGACUGGGCGUAAAGGGAGCGUAGGUGGUUAAUUAAGUUAGGUGUGAAAGCCCAGGGCUCAACUCUGGAAUUGCACUUAAAACUGGUUAACUAGAGUGCAGGAGGGGUGAACGGAAUUUCUAGUGUAGCGGUGAAAUGCGUAGAUAUUAGGAAGAACACCGGAGGCGAAGGCGGUUCACUGGACUGCAACUGACACUGAGGCUCGAAAGCGUGGGGAGCAAACAGGAUUAGAUACCCUAGUAGUC